CUUAAAUGGGAUAUAUUGGGUCCAUGACCCAAAACCAAUUGCAACGGGGAAUAUUUGUGUCAAUUCGUCAGUCAGAGACGAACUAAGCAUUGCUGUAUGUAAAAUAGCGUGUCCCCAAACCGAAGUGGGCAGCCGACAAACUAAAAUACUGCAUGCAAAAUGGCAUGAACCCAAACCAAAGUGGGCAGCCGACGAACUAGCAUUGCUGCA
rnacentral:lncRNA from 1 species